rnacentral:rRNA from 1 species
GAUGACCGCUGGCGGCGUGCCUAAUACAUGCAAGUCGAGCGAAGAGGGGACGGGUGAGUAACAGGUGGAUAACCUCCUAUAAGACUGGGAUAACAUCGGGAAACGGGAGCUAAACAGGAGACUUAUAGAGUGAUCCGCGCUGCAUUAGCUAGUUGGUAAGGUAACGGCUUACCAAGGCAACGAUGCAUAGCCGACCUUAGAGGGUGAUCGGCCACACUGGAACUGAGACACGGUCCAGACUCCUACGGGAGGCAGCAGUAGGGAAUCUUCCGCAAUGGGCGAAAGCCUGACGGAGCAACGCCGCGUGAGUGAUGAAGGUCUUCGGAUCGGAAAACUCUGUUAUUAGGGAAGCGGUCCCUAAUCCUAAAGCCACGGCUAACUACGUGCCAGCAGCCGCGGUAAUAC